rnacentral:rRNA from 1 species
GGGCGGCGGCUACACAUGCAAGUCGAGCGGUAGAGAGGUGCUUGCACCUCUUGAGAGCGGCGGACGGGUGAGUAAUGCCUAGGAAUCUGCCUGGUAGUGGGGGAUAACGCUCGGAAACGGACGCUAAUACCGCAUACGUCCUACGGGAGAAAGCAGGGGACCUUCGGGCCUUGCGCUAUCAGAUGAGCCUAGGUCGGAUUAGCUAGUUGGUGAGGUAAUGGCUCACCAAGGCGACGAUCCGUAACUGGUCUGAGAGGAUGAUCAGUCACACUGGAACUGAGACACGGUCCAGACUCCUACGGGAGGCAGCAGUGGGGAAUAUUGGACAAUGGGCGAAAGCCUGAUCCAGCCAUGCCGCGUGUGUGAAGAAGGUCUUCGGAUUGUAAAGCACUUUAAGUUGGGAGGAAGGGCAUUAACCUAAUACGUUAGUGUUUUGACGUUACCGACAGAAUAAGCACCGGCUAACUCUGUGCCAGCAGCCGCGGUAAUACAGAGGGUGCAAGCGUUAAUCGGAAUUACUGGGCGUAAAGCGCGCGUAGGUGGUUCGUUAAGUUGGAUGUGAAAUCCCCGGGCUCAACCUGGGAACUGCAUUCAAAACUGUCGAGCUAGAGUAUGGUAGAGGGUGGUGGAAUUUCCUGUGUAGCGGUGAAAUGCGUAGAUAUAGGAAGGAACACCAGUGGCGAAGGCGACCACCUGGACUGAUACUGACACUGAGGUGCGAAAGCGUGGGGAGCAAACAGGAUUAGAUACCCUGGUAGUCCACGCCGUAAACGAUGUCAACUAGCCGUUGGGAGCCUUGAGCUCUUAGUGGCGCAGCUAACGCAUUAAGUUGACCGCCUGGGGAGUACGGCCGCAAGGUUAAAACUCAAAUGAAUUGACGGGGGCCCGCACAAGCGGUGGAGCAUGUGGUUUAAUUCGAA